rnacentral:misc_RNA from 1 species
GACAACUUUAAUUCCCGAUUUCUUAUCCCAUUCCUCAGGAGAAAGCGCAUCAGCCAUUAUCUUCUCCUGACCGCGCCAUAGAAUCUUGUCGAUGACACCAAACUCUUUGGCCUUUAUGGCAUCCAUAUAAAAUGGCCUUCGCAUCACCUUGGAUACCGUCUCCAAUGAAUUUCCGGUGUGCCUAGAGAUAAGUUUGACAAGUGUGUCCCUAUUAUUUAUGACCUCCUUAGCGCGAAUAAGAACAUCACUUGCCGACAUCUGUCCAGAAGAUGGGACACGAGGUUGUUGAAUCAUGGCUUUGGCAUGAGGCAUCAUAAACCGCUGCCCUUUCUUUCCUGCGGCAAGAAGUAGGCAGGCCUG